UAGACUUCUGCGUAAUGUCAGGGCCUUGUUACACCUUAUGCUGGGAGCUGCACAAGUGUUGAUUCGUGUCAGUACUAGCUCAAGUUAGGAACAGCAAGCAGGGACCUGGAGAACUGAAAGGAGGGACCGCAGGAGGUCAUCAAGUCCAACCGCUUGAUCAAGAAAUGUACCACAGAGGAUAACUGCCCCUGUGUCACAGCAUUUGUUCACAGCCUUCCCCACCAGAUGACAUGGGGGAAGUGACUGGAUACUCUAGUAUCAGGUGUUCUGUUCCAGUAUUUCUCUGAUGUACCACUCUGACUUUUAUAAUCCAUUUGAGCAUCACUCUUC